rnacentral:rRNA from 1 species
CUGAAUAACUGUGCAGAUCGCAGGUCUUUGUACCGGCGACACAUUGCAAGAGUGAGUGCCUUAUCAACUGUCGAUGGUAGUAUAUAUGCCUACCAUGGUUAUUACGGGUAACGGAGAAUUAGGGUUUGACUCCGGAGAGGCAGCCUGAGAGACGGCUACCAGUUCUAAGGAACGCAGCAGGCGCGCAAAUUACACAAUGACAGUAAACUGUUGAUGUAGUGACAAGAGGUAACGGGGCGGUCCUCUAUGAGGCCCGUCAUUGUAUUGAGUAAAACUCAAAAUAUUUAACGAAACCAAUUGGAGGGCAAGUCUGGUGCCAGCAGCCGCGGUAAUUCCAGCUCCAAAAGCAUAUAUUAAAGUUGUUGCGGUUAAAAAG